UUUGUUUUUUUCAAAAGCUUAAAACCCCAACCCUUCGAUAAAAACCCCCCAUAGACAUACCAGUAACACUUCUAUAAAAUAAUCCAUAGAAGAAGGUGGAGCAGCAGCGAUUUGAUUAGUUUAUUUGAGCAAUUAAGAAAUUGGAAUGUACCCAAUUUUUCAGAACCGAGGAAGAAGAUCAAGUUCUUGUUCUAUAUACAUCCAUUAUACAACACUCCUGACUCCUCUAUGUAAUUUUAUUUAGGUAGUCAACGAUGUCCAAAUGCAAGUUUUGCUUUCGGAAAUCUGUUGGAGAGACAUCACCGUGACUACAGUUGGCUAUCCCACUUAGCAAUGGAGCUCCGUCACCUGAAGAAAUAUAUUGGAAAACUAAAGUAGGCGAUAUCCGUAUUUCAAAACCUUUGAAAGAUAGCUUGCAUCUGGGUAAACUUUUGAAUCAAAUUAAAUCUAUCAUAGUCUCACAAAGUAACUCAUAGUUUCACUUCUUGUUAUCUUUUUUGUUUAUGUACAAGUAGUAAUUACAAAUAAAUAUUUUUAUGAAUAAUAUUGGUGUGACUUUUUUAUACUUUUGAAAUUUUGACUUUUUGAUUUUUGAACUCACCUAAAAAAGGUUUUUUAUUUUAAAAAAAAAUUACUAUAUAAUAUAUUUUUCUAAAUCUAAAUUUUAGUCAAACUAAACAUAGACUAUUUUGUCCAGUGUAUUACAAACUUUAAUUUUAUUUUGUUCUCUUUUGUAAGACCAAUAGAAAGAGUUGUGAAACUCAACUUGAAUUACAAGCAGGAUUUUGGUACACAUGAAGCCCUAUUGUAUGUUUGUAUGUUUGGGGAGGACAAGUUAAAAAAACUCAAAUUCCGCAAGAUGGUCGAGUGAUAUAUUUCAAAGAUGAUAUAUUGUCAAAAGUCGGAGUUAAAAUGAAGUUGCACUUCAAGAAAAAUCAAUAAUGAAGCAAGUUUUUGCCGUUGCAUGUUGCGAAAAUAAUGUCUAUUACAUCGGACAAAUUUCAAGUGAUCCUAAAUCUUCUUUCUGUGGAUCCUUAAUCCAUUUUAGCUCAAGAUAUAUUAAGUUGAUGAUGAAAAAUUGUGAAGAAAAAGGUGUCAAAGGUGAGAUAAGGAAUUGUGCUAAUUCAUUGGAAGGUAUUGUUGUUACGUCACUAUUAAAUUUUGGGGAAAAAAAGUUGGUCGUGGCGUCCACGGAGGAGAAUUAUGGUAUCCUUUUGGAAUACACUAUUCAAAAAGUACAACUUUUAUGAAGUCACAGUAUGGUGUGACAUAAAAUAAGGAAUUCAUUUGCUGUGUUUUUUUGUCAUAGCAUAAAGAAUAUUGAUUUAUACAAUGUUUAUUUGGUUCGCGCUAACGGAAAGCAAACGGCGGCAUUUGCAAUUUGUCAUAAGGACACUUCUUUUUGGAAUCCAAGACAUUAUCCAUUUGAGUUUCUUAAGACCAAGCCGGGUGAAAGCCUAUAUGUCAUUUUGUCUGUGCAGAAGCAAUAGUUUGGUAUAGGCUGCCAAAAAAUAAAGGCGAGGAAUAAGAAUUGUGUUUUAAGUAUAAACACCAAGCUGGGUGAGAAUCAUAUAUGUCAUUUUGUUUAUGUUGAAGCUCUACAUAUCGUAUAAUAAUUCUUAUUUAUUAUAUAUGAUAUGUAGUGCUUAUUAUAUAUUAUAUAUGAUGUGUAUAAUCCCUUUUUUUUCAUUAACAUAAAUAAUUCAUAUUUAUUACUUCUUCCGUUCAUUUUUACUCGCAACGUUUGUUACUUUCACACAUGUCAAAGCACAACUUUGAUAUUUAAUUCUUUUUAAGCAAAAAUUAUAAAAAGUUAAUAUUUUGAUAAUACACUAAGACGAAUCUAAAAAGAUCCCAAAUGACUUUGUUUUAUCUUACGUAUAAAUCACCAAUAAUGGUCAAAUUAUAAUAUUGUGAAUAGUGUAGAAAUCAUAAACGUUGCAAUUAUUAAAAAUUGGAGGAAGUAUAUCAUAUGUAGAGCUUCUACACAAACACAAUGACAUAUAUGUUUCUCACCCAGCUUGGUGUUUAUGCUUAAGACACACUUCUUAUUCCUCGCCUUUAUUUUUUGGCAGCCUAUACCAAACUGUUGUUUCUGCACAAACAAAAAGAUAUGUAGUCUUCCCACCCGGCUUGGUGUUAAUAAACUCUAAGGCAUAAUGUCUUGGAUUCCAAAAAGAAGUGUCCUUAUGACAAAUUGCAAAUGCCGUCGUUUGCUUCCUGUUAGUGCGAACCAAAGAAACAUUGUAUAAAUCAAUAUUCUUUAUGAUAUUACAAAGAAACACAACAAAUGGAUUCCUUAUUUUAUGACACACCACACUGUGACUUCCUAAUAGUUGUACUUUUUGAAUAGUGUAUUCCAAAAUGAUACCAUAAUCCUUCUCCGUGGAUGCCACGACCAACUUUUUUUUUCCAAAAUAUAAUAGUGACGUAACAUAGUCAACCAUACAUUCCAAUGAAUUAACACAAUUUCUUAUCUCACCUUUGACACCUUUUUCUUCACAUUUUUUCAUCAUCAACUCAAUAUCUUGAGCUAAAAUGGAUUUAGGAUCACUUGAAAUUUGUCCGAUGUAGUAUACAUUAUUUUCGCAACAUGCAACGGCAAAAACUUGGCUUAAUUAUUGAUUUUCUUGAAGUGCAACUUCAUUUUAACUCCGACUUUUGACAAUAUAUCAUCUUUGAAAUAUACCACUCGAACAUCUUGCGGAAUUUGAAUUUUUUAACUUGUCCUCCCCAAACAUACAAUAGGGUUUCAUGUGUAUUCGAGUUGAGUUUCACAAAUCUUUCUAUUGGUCUUACAAAAGAGGACAAAAUAAAAUUAGAGUUUGUAGUACAGUGGACAGAAUAGUCUAUGUUAAAUUUGACUAAAAAUUAGAUUUAGAGAAAUAAAUUCUAGAGUAAUUUUUUUUUUUUUUAAAAAAAACCUUUUUUAGGUGAGUUCAAAAAUCGAAAAGUCAAAAUUUCAUAAAGUAUACAAAAGUCACACCAAUACUCCCUCCGUAUUUAUUUAAGAGAUACAUUUGGCCGGGUACGGGUAUUAAGAAAAAGAAUUGAAUGAAAUAAAAUAAUAAAGCAAAUGGGUUGGGUAGAUAUUUUAAUAAGUAAAUAAGUGGGGACCAUGUCUUUUUGGUGGGGUUGGAGGUGAGGUGGGUUUAUGAAAUUAUGUUUAAUAGGAUGGUGGGUCAUAGGGUAAAUUAGAUGUAUUAUUUAAUUAGAUGGUGGGGUUGAUAAGUUACUAAAAAUGGCAAUUGUAUCUCUUAAAUAAAUACGGCCGGAAAAGGAAAGUGUAUCCCUUAAAUAAAUACGGAGGGAGUAUUAUUUAUUUGUAAUUACUACUUGUACAUAAACAAAAAGGAUAACAAGAAGUGAAAUUAUGAGUUACUUUGUCAGAUACUCGAGACUAUAAUAGAUUUAAUUUGAUUCAAAAGUUUACCUAGAUGCAAGCUAUCUUUCAAAGGUUUUGACAUAGGGAUAUCGCCUACUUUAGUUUUCCGAUAUAUUUCUUCAGGUGACGGAGCUCCAUUGCUAAGUGGGAUAGCCAACUGUUACAAAAAGAAAUUCAAACGGAUAAAUGAUAAAUAUAUGUUAUGAGAAAUAGCGAAAAUAUCACAAUAUCGAUUUGAUUUUAGGUCGGGGCUCGACAAUUCUCAACAACACUCCAGCAAGGUAGCGGUUGGCGGUGGCAGCUCAAUAGCUAGAUUCUUCCUCUUCUUAAACUUGAGAAAUUGGUGAGUUUUUGAAUUGACAGGUGAAAAGAACUUAGUGAAGGUGAUAGUUCCAGAUAAGUGGAAAGCGGGAGCAAGGAACACUAAAGAAAGUGGUGCCGCGCAAGAUCAAUGAAAACAAGCUCCUUUCCACAUGGUAAAUCAAAUACAAAAGGCUUCAAUUCUAUAAUGGUUCAGUGAUUUCUAGGGUAUAACGCAACUCACGCUUCAAUCUGACAAAUUCUCUCCCCAAUUCCAUAAUUUAUCAGCAACACCCACUAAUCUAUCCUCCCUUCUUUCAACCUUCACAAAUUCUUGUUCUUUAGGACUAAAUGUUGAUGUUAAGAGUGUUCAAAUCAGCAGAAACAAACCUAAUAUUUUUUGUCUAUCAUGGAUGGCCCUCUUUCUUCUGUCAAACUCAUCCUUCAGGGCCGUAAUCUUGAGGUUAUUUCUGAACUUAUCUUUGUAAUAUCUGUGUUCUUUGGGGAAAAUUUGAAGUGGAUUUUGAAUAUUUGAGUAUCUGGGUCGAUUCUGAUUUUGGAAUUGUUGUUCUUUUUAUGCCAUUUUACUGAAGAAAUCUAUGCAAUCUUUUAGCUACGAUGUACUUGUUUGAGUAGGCUUGACAUUUCAAGGUAUGAGAUUGUUCUUAAAUUAAUAAUUGUAUGAUCGUUAAAUGGUUGAGAUUGUUGAAAUCCACUACCAUGGAUUGAAAGCGUUUUCACUCAGUAAUUUGUUGUUUCAGACUUUCAGCAUUGUGAUACAGAAUAAGUGUUCUCAGCACUAAUAUAUGCUAUGCAUUCUACUUCAUGAAUCAUGAGUAUGAGCACUUGAGAAGUUCUCUUAUGUUUAAUCAUCCAGCCUGCAUUCAAGUUGCCAUCGUAUUUUGAAUAGUCUGCAACAAACUUUCUUUAGUUCUUCUAUCUUUACUUCAGGUGUCUAGCAUCCCAGCUCUGAAUGUUCCAUGUUUUAAUAGUUGCUACUAUGAUGAGUAUUAGACUGUUUCAAAUGACCACCUUUGGCACUCCCUGUGCCCCUAUUCAAUAGGCCACUUUCCUAUUUUAAGCCUUCCAAACUAGCAACUUUCUGUGUUCUUAGCAAGGAAUUCAAAGGAAAAUAUUACAUUGAUAUAGUGGAGAUGUAAAAUUUAUUCUUAUCGGAGGAGUAUUUUCUGUAGAUUAUCUCAAUUCUCAUUCAUAUAUCUUCUUAAUGUAAGUUAUGUGCAGUUUGCAGACUUUACACACUUGUAAGAGUUGAUUGAAAGCCUUUUUCUGUACUUGUUUCUGUUUCUUCAGUCAAUUUUUUGUAUGCAUAGAUCUUGUCUCAUGUUCUAUGUACAAUUUUGAAUCAUAAGAUUCUUACCCUACAAUAUAGAUUGAUUUGAGUAAUGUGGGCGACUGAAAUGCAAGUUGUUUUGUUCCAACUAUGAAUAUAUUCUCCAUUCAGAACCAAAAAAGAACCUAAAAUAUAUUCUCCAUUUAGCAACCUUUAGCUGAUUGCUUAUUUGGAAAGGUCAUCUUGUUUCUGGUGUACAUUUUCAAUGAUCCUGAAACUAGGUUGCACUUCCCUGAAAUUUUUGUAACAAUGAUGGUAAUCAUGAUGUUCCAAUAAUUCUUCCUGUUUUAUUUUGAAAACUAAUCAUGGAAUGCCUUUCCCUGGAAUAUAACAUAUGAUUAGUUUUUGGUGCACUUCAAUAGUAGUUUGAUUCGUGUUCUAUGGAUCUUGAGCUUUCUUUUAUUCUAUUUCAGGAUUUGAUUUUUUUUUUCCCUUUGUUUUCUUUAGAACUUUGUUGCUGCAAUGUGCCUAUAAAUUUACUUCUCAUUAUUAAAGAAAAAAAAUUAUAUUCCUUACAAAUUAGUCAGGAGAAGGUCUUCAUUUUGUAUCGCCAUACCCGAAAAGUAGGGGUAUGAAUGAACUGCAUAUUCCAAUCUUGUGACCUCAUUAGACUACGUGGUUUUAGCUUGAAGGAAUUGAUUAUGAAAAAAGAAUUGGGGUUUUGAGAGGGGAAACAAUGAAAAAUAUGAGAUGGGAAGAGUGGGCAGCUAGGUCUUAUAUAGGAUGGUAAAGAUAGCAGUAGUUCUCAUGAUUUGUAAAGUCUGAGAGAGAUCAUGUGGGUUAUGUUCGUGAAUUGUAGUAUUUCUUUCAAGUAUUUACAGCCACUAAACAUUAUUACUACUUUUAACUCUUCAAUGAAUUAUAUAAAUGCACUUGUUACGUGACGUAUUUACACCGUGCAGUUACAUACUUCCUCCGUUCUUAUUUACAUGACACAAUUGGAUUUUGGACACUAUUCACAUAAGUUCCUUUGACUUCCUGUUGUGGUUUGUACUUAAGAAAAAACAUAGUCGUGUGGGGUCUUGUUGGAUUCGUCUCGGUAAAUAUUUUUUAAAUAUCAAAUUUUUAUAAUUUUUCUUAUCUAUAAUUGGAGAUAUUAAGGUUUGAAAUCGUGCAUUGGCAAACGUGCCUAAAUAAUUGUGUCAUUUUAAAAAGAACAGAGGAAGUACAUAAAUUGACAGAUUAUAGUUUCUUAAUGAUUUUCAUGUGAAAAGUAAAAGGUGCUUACAUAAGAGAGAGAGAAAAGGAAGGCGGGGCUAAGAGAGCUCACUUAUUUGGUGAUUGAAAAGUGGUUGAAAAGUUACUGAUGACAAGGUAACUUCUACAAUUACGCUCUGCAAUAGCUAACGGGACAAAGAUAUCACUCAUACAGUUCCACAUAUAUAGAAGCUUAAUGGACUGGAUAAAUUGAAUAGCUGGAUAGUGAAUACUAUCAUAUUUUGCAAAGCAGUUAUUAGGCAUGUGUCACAGCUAAUUUAUAAUUCCUUUGUUCCAAGUACUUGCAAGUUGCAACGCGGGUGGAGGCUCAUGAUUAAGGAGGUCACAUGAUGAGGGACUUUCAACUGGUAAUUUGUGACAUAUUAGUGGUCACUGGAAAAACUCUUAUCACCAAAGAUGUUGCUAAUGAAACUGGAGCGUCUUCUUCUUGAUUAAUGGGCCAGAGAUCAUGUCAAAAAUGGCUGGAGAAGUGAAAGCAAUUUGGGGAAGGUAUUCGAAGAAGCUGAGAAGAAUGCCCCUUCUAUCAUUUUCAUUGAUGAGAUUGAUUCCAUUGCUCCUAAGAGAGAUAAGACAAAAGGUGAAGUUGAAAGGCGACUCGUUUCUCAAUUGCUAACUUUGAUGGAUGGUCUUAAGAGCCGUGCUCAUGUCAUUGUCAUGGGUGCCACCAACCGGCCUAUUAGUAUUGAUCCUGCUCUUAGAAGAUUUGGGAGAUUUGAUCGUGAGAUCGGACAUUGGGAGGUUGGAAGUUCUCGACAUCCAUACCAAGAAUAUGAAACUUGCAGAAGAUGUUGAUCUUGAAAAAGUAUCAAAACUCAUGAUUAUGUAAGUGCAGAUCUUGCUGCUCUUUGCACAGAAAGAGCUCUUCAGUGUAUUAGGGAGAAAAUGGAUGUCAUUGACUUAGAAGAUGAGACAAUUGAUGUUGAGGUGUUAAAAUUCUAUGGCUGUCAUGAAUGAACACUUCCAAACAGCCCUGGGAUCUUCCAACCCAUCAGCCCUGCGUGAAGCAUUUGUGGAGGUUCCUAAUGUUUCAUGGGAAGAUAUUGGUGGAUUGGAAACUGUCAAAAGAGAGUUUCAAGAGGAGCCCUCUUACACCCUUUUUCAAGUUGAUACACGUACUAAAUUUUGGCGUUGUUGGAAGACUGUGCAAUACCCUGUGGAGCACCCAUUAAAGUAAAACAUUGCUUGCAAAGGUAUUUUUCAGGAAAGGAGGUGGAGUGGGGAAUGCAACCUGGAACGAAAUGAUUAUGCAAUGUCAUACAAGUAGUAUUAUUUUGUGAUAAGGGGCACAAUAUUUUCAUUAGAAUUUCAUAAUCGUCAAUAAGUUAAGUUAACUCAAUCAGUGUGGGUGCAUUACAGACUAUAAGGGAUUGUCUGGGGGAAGAUUUGUUUAAACUCAUAGCCUCAGGGCCAAGUUCAGCAUCAGAAAUCAUUAACUACCUGAAUUGAGAUCUGAAAAUGAGGCCCUUGACAUUAUCAAUAAGCUAGAGGCUGCAGCACUAGCAUAGAGAGAAAGAAUCAAACAACAAGUCAUUCGCAUCAAGACUCAUGUCCGAACCUCUUGGCCCUUUAUGAAGGAGCUAACACCCGAGGUUGGUAAGGCGUAAGCACUGUUGUUUUCAGUAGAUGCACUUCUGUGUCAGUUGAAGAUGAGGUGUCUGUACCUUCCUCACACAUUCCUUAAUGUCAGGGGAAUAUAGUUUGGCAAGGCAUCGAUUCUUGAAGCAUAUUCCAAAGUUUAUGGAAACUUGGCUUUCAGCAUCCUGUCAAGGAUCAGAGGUAGAUAUUCUGCAUGCAAGAAGAUAACUUGAGCAAUCCCAAUUCACAAGUGGCAACUUACUUGACCAGGAUUAAGUAUGAAUGGAAAACCAGAUAGCCCCAUUGCGCACCCAUAUAUAAGGAACUCACUUGUUGAAAGAAUGAACAACGAAGAUAUAUGGAUACUUUAGUGACUCAAACCCCAUCAGACAUUAUGAUUUAGAUAUUUCAUCCGAGUACUGGAAUUGUGGAACGAUGCUUCAAUAUCAAUGACGACACCUAUAUUGUAAACGUGUACUAAGAAAUUUUACGUCUCUUAUGUUGCAUGUUACAAUAACAAUUGUGGAGAGUUUAAUUUUUAAUUUUGUUUGUGGAUGCUACGAUAAUAAUGGCACCUAUAUUGUAAACGUACUUGAAAUUCAUAUUAUCAAUUACAUGCAAAUUGAACUUUUGCAUUGUU